UUUACAUGAAUAAAUGCACUAUUACAUUAAUAAAUGCAGUAUAUGUUGUGUAAUUAAAUAAAAACACCCUUAAAGCAUUUAAUUAUAGACUAGCCAUUUGAAUCACAGUCAUUUUGUUCGAUUUCCAUGCUUGUGGAUGUGACUUUUAUUUUGACAGCUGAAUUCCUAGUAAAUAUGCGUCUACACACAAUAACGUGGCCACGUGACCUCGCAUGGACACGUAAUUGCAUGUUUAGAUGCAAUAACGCGUACACACGUUAUGUGGUCUUUACACUAAAUUCGUCUUCAUGUGUAACAUUGUACACGUUACGCCUACAGAAAUAAAUAACACUUUGGCCUUCCAUACAGACGUGACGUUCAGUGAGACGAGUACAUGAUGCAAAGUCAUAUUUUUGAGCCCAAAGGGACGCCAUACCUAAACAUCACAAGGAGAUUUGCGGACGUGAUGAUAAUGUCAUAACGUUUUUUGCAACGUUGUGAAAAUAAGUUUUUAUAACAUAAAAAGCUCCGACAUCUUUCGUAUUAAGUACAUUGGAUAAAAACGUUAUCACAACCUUUUCACAACGUGGGGGGAAAAACGUUUUUACAACGUGUUUGCUGGGAUCUACUUGUGAUGCCUUGCGCACUGCAUGCACGUCUGUUCACGUCAGGUGUUUAUUCCAGUUUUCAGACAGUCUGUGGAGAAACUGAGAUCACUAGUUAAUGGUGUAUUCUGCUGCUCCAGGAACUCCUGUUUAACUACACCUGAGGUUACCAGAGCCUGCCAGAUCCAGCUCCGUUCUUGCUUGGUGUCGGACUCCACUGCUAUGUGUUUCGGAGUGAUGACGACUAAAUGCAACCAGUGCUAGCCAGACAUCACUUCAGUCUUUUACAAUGGACUUCAGAGGAUGAACUGAUGCCAACUCCAACUGUAAGACAUCGGAUACUUCAUAUGCCACUGCGAUGCACCUCACUGAUCUCUCCCUGCAUCGCCUUUGUCUAUUGAUGGACUACACUCUGGAAAUGGAAUACAUAGACUAUCAUUUAAUUGCCAACAAAAGCCUUCAUCAGCCAACUAACAAAGGACAAUGCAUCUAUGUGAACUUCUGCAGUUAAUCCAGGAUAGACUUCAAAGACAUUAGUCAUUAAUCUUACAGUUCAUACAUUUUUUUAUUUUUUUUAACACUGGACCAUAACACUUACUUAGUUUACUAAUCUUAAACCAUGACCUGCACUGCACAUAAAAAACUAAUAUUGGCAUUAUAUUCAUGCUAGUUAGCCAGAGGGGAACUGGCCCCCACAGUGAGCCUGGUUUCUCCCAAGGUUAUUUUCCUCCAUUAACCAACAUCUUAUGGAGUUUACAAUUAUUAUUUAAUUAGUUAAUUUUUAUACACAAUUUACAAUCAUAUUUAAUCAAACUACACAAUGAUCACUCUUAAGACUUUAUAGAUAUUAGAUUCAUUUUUUUGUUAAUACAUGAUUUUCUGUAAAGCUGCUUUGAAACAAUGUGUGUUGUGAAAAGCGCUAUACAAAUAAAAAUAACUUGACUUCCCAAUAAAACAAAAGGAGCAUU